UACAGAGGGUGCGAGCGUUGUCCGGAAUCACUGGGCGUAAAGGGCGCGUAGGUGGCGACCCAAGUCGAUGGUGAAAGCUCGCCGCUCAACGGCGAGUCGGCCACCGAUACUGGGUUGCUCGAGCACUGUAGAGGCUAAUGGAAUUCCGGGUGUAGCGGUGGAAUGCGUAGAGAUCCGGAAGAACACCGGUGGCGAAGGCGGUUAGCUGGGCAGUUGCUGACACUGAGGCGCGACAGCGUGGGGAGCAAACAGGG
rnacentral:rRNA from 1 species